rnacentral:rRNA from 1 species
ACUCAAAGGAAUUGACGGGGGCCCGCACAAGCGGUGGAGCAUGUGGUUCAAUUCGAAGCAACGCGCAGAACCUUACCAGCCCUUGACAUGGCAGGACGGUUCCCAGAGAUGGGUUCCUUCUCGCAAGAGACUUGCACACAGGUGCUGCAUGGCUGUCGUCAGCUCGUGUCGUGAGAUGUUGGGUUAAGUCCCGCAACGAGCGCAACCCUCGCCCUUAGUUGCCAUCAUUCAGUUGGGCACUCUAAGGGGACUGCCGGUGAUAAGCCGCGAGGAAGGUGGGGAUGACGUCAAGUCCUCAUGGCCCUUACGGGCUGGGCUACACACGUGCUACAAUGGCGGUGACAGUGGGAUGCAAUGGAGUAAUCCUGCGCAAAUCUCAAAAAGCCGUCUCAGUUCGGAUUGUGCUCUGCAACUCGAGCACAUGAAGUUGGAAUCGCUAGUAAUCGCAGAUCAGCACGCUGCGGUGAAUACGUUCCCGGGCCUUGCACACACCGCCCGU